UGAGUAACACGUGGGCAAUCUGCCCUGCACUUCGGGAUAAGCCUGGGAAACUGGGUCUAAUACCGGAUAGGACCUUUAGACGCAUGUCUUUUGGUGGAAAGCUUUUGCGGUGUGGGAUGGGCCCGCGGCCUAUCAGCUUGUUGGUGGGGUGAUGGCCUACCAAGGCGACGACGGGUAGCCGGCCUGAGAGGGUGUCCGGCCACACUGGGACUGAGAUACGGCCCAGACUCCUACGGGAGGCAGCAGUGGGGAAUAUUGCACAAUGGGCGCAAGCCUGAUGCAGCGACGCCGCGUGGGGGAUGACGGCCUUCGGGUUGUAAACCUCUUUCACCAUCGACGAAGGUCCGGGUUUUCUCGGAUUGACGGUAGGUGGAGAAGAAGCACCGGCCAACUACGUGCCAGCAGCCGCGGUAAUACGUAGGGUGCGAGCGUUGUCCGGAAUUACUGGGCGUAAAGAGCUCGUAGGUGGUUUGUCGCGUUGUUCGUGAAAUCUCACGGCUUAACUGUGAGCGUGCGGGCGAUACGGGCAGACUAGAGUACUGCAGGGGAGACUGGAAUUCCUGGUGUAGCGGUGGAAUGCGCAGAUAUCAGGAGGAACACCGGUGGCGAAGGCGGGUCUCUGGGCAGUAACUGACGCUGAGGAGCGAAAGCGUGGGGAGCGAACAGGAUUAGAUACCCUGGUAGUCCACGCCGUAAACGGUGGGUACUAGGUGUGGGUUUCCUUCCUUGGGAUCCGUGCCGUAGCUAACGCAUUAAGUACCCCCGCCUGGGGGAGUACGGGCCGCAAGGCUAAAACUCAAAAGGAAUUGACGGGGGGCCCGCACAA
rnacentral:rRNA from 1 species